GAGAAGAACCAGGGGAAAAAAAGGGAUUAAAGUUCUGUAAGACCAAGAUCACGCCGACGUGAGGACACCUACGCAUGUGAGACGAAGGGCAGAGCUUUAAAAGAGCAAGAAGGAAAGAUUUAAGUCACUCCAGUGAGUCCCAUUAUUAAAUAAAUAAAUCUUAAUUUUAUGGAAUUAAUCCGCAAAACUACUUCAACAGCAGAGAGUAUAUCUGUUACAGUAACAGAAAAGUUUGAUUAAAGGAGGAAAUGCACAUUAUCAGCCAUUCUCACGGGCUCUUAGGAGAAGUUUAGGAUUUGUUCCUCUUUCUUAAAAAUGAAAUCCAGUCAUUUUUUUUAAGAGUAAAACUCUUUUCUGCACAAAGUCUGAAUCAGAAUAAAAACUGCAAAGUCAGCAGAGGUGGAUUUAAGUGAAGAAUACAUGGUUAAGGUCAUGUGCAUUUCCCCCUCAGAAGCCAAUACAGGAACCAGUGUAGUUUUCAGGGUUAGUUUCUCUCCUCGAUGUGUUUCCACUGCAGAAACCACAGACACACCAGACUAAGGUAUUCACAAAUCUGUGCUUCGAGGAAGGCAGGACUUUCUGGAUGGACCCGAACUAGACAUGUCACUUCCUGUUGGGAGGAGGCUUAACGUUAACCACUGGCUGAAGGUAACCAGAAUUAAAUCCCAAUCAUUUCUCUCCCAAUUUAUUCUUUAUUCUUGUUUGCAAACACGUCAAAGUUCAGCCACCUGUGCUCAAUAUCACUGUGUUAGAUAUUGGCGUUUACAUUCAAGCGCAGGGUUAAAAUCUGCCAGUGUUUUUGUAAAUGAAUUGCUCAGAAGGAAGUGUGGACUUCUGCUUUCAGAUCAUCUGGAGAUUUUUAACUGGUCAAUUUAUAACAUAUCGCAGAGAUUGAUGUUCUCAGACACAGAUCACAAACUUUCUCCGAGUCAAAGUCUUAAUUCAGUUUAAGAGACUUGCCACCAUUAAACUGUCACAAUUUAUGCUUCCUAACAGCUGACUGUGAUCCUAAUCGGACCUCAGCCUUUCCUGAUCUCAGACCGCUUCGUUCUGCAAACACGUUUGUCCGCAGACAUCAGCGUUUCACUCACACUCAGUGUUCCCUCCCAUGAUGUAGAGUCCUUUGAGUUUGCCCGGCAGAGUCGGAUCCAUCCUCACAGCCAGAGCCAGGGUUCUCAUUAAUGAUCCGGACUAUGGCCGACACGGCGUUCUCCUCCUGGAUCAGGUCCAGACCGGGAGCGCCGGCGUCGGGGGCRUCUCCG